GGCGUACUUAACACAUGCAAGUCGAACGAGGAUCAUCGGGUUAGCAAUAAUUCGGCGGUCCUAGUGGCGUGCGGGUGAGUAACACGUGGGUAACCUGCCCUUGAGACCGGGAUACCCUCUCGAAAGGGAGGCUAAUACUGGAUACGUUCCUCGGGUCGCAAGAUUUGGGGAGGAAAGGCAGCGAAAGCUGCCGCUCUUGGAGGGGCUCGCGGCCUAUCAGCUAGUUGGUGAGGUAACGGCUCACCAAGGCUAUGACGGGUAGCUGGUCUGAGAGGACGACCAGCCACACGGGAACUGAGACACGGUCCCGACUCCUACGGGAGGCAGCAGUGGGGAAUUUUCCGCAAUGGGCGAAAGCCUGACGGAGUGACGCCGCGUGGGGGACGAAGGCCUUCGGGUCGUAAACCCCUGUCAGAGGGAAAGAAGGGUGCUGGCGUGAAUAGCGCCGGCAUCUGACGGUACCUUCAGAGGAAGCCCCGGCCAACUC
rnacentral:rRNA from 1 species